GGCCGUGUGGCGAAAUGGCAUCGCGUCUGACUACGACUUCAGUGAGCGACUAUAGCUAGCUCCUUACGUAAUUCGCUUACGUAAUCAUCAGGAGAUUGUAGGUUCGACCCCUACCUCGGUCA